rnacentral:siRNA from 1 species
UGAUGAUGCAUUGUGGGCAUAUA